rnacentral:lncRNA from 1 species
GGGAGCCCUUUUUAUGUGUGUAUGUGUGUUUGGUAUAAAAUAUGUUUGAAAAACAGAGUGUGGGGAUGAGAAAAUAAUUCAUUGAUUAUAUUUUUGUAUUUGACAAGACCUUCAGACUUAUGCCUACGUACCAACAUAAAAAUGAGGGAUCAAAAUCUGGUAGUUCGUGGUAUCAAUUUCAAAAUGAGUGGAUUUCUUUUAAUCAAAAUUUAAUUUAAAGAGGCACGAAGGGCCCAAAAGCUUGAAUGAUUUUG